GAUGAACGCUAGCUACAGGCUUAACACAUGCAAGUCGAGGGACCGGCGCACGGGUGAGUAACACGUAUCCAACCUGCCCUUUACUCGGGGCUAGCCUUUCGCAAGAAAGAUUAAUACCCGAUAUAAAGGAUGGGGAUGCGUUCCAUUAGGUUGUUGGUGAGGGAACGGCUAACCAAGCCUUCGAUGGAUAGGGGUGCUGAGAGGAAGGUACACCACAUUGGAACAGAGACACGGUCCAAACUCCUACGGGAGGCAGGAGUGAGGAAUAUUGGUCAAUGGGGGCUAGCCGGAACCAGCCAAGUAGCGUGAAGGAUGAAGGCGUAUGGGUAGUAAACUUCUAGUAUAUAAGAAUAUGUAUUAUAUGAAUAAGGAUCGGCUAACUCCGUGCCAGCAGCCGCGGUAAUUC
rnacentral:rRNA from 1 species